GAUGAACGCUGGCGGCGUGCCUAAUACAUGCAAGUCGAGCGAAAAGACGAGGAGCUUGCUCCUCUGUCGUUAGCGGCGGACGGGUGAGUAACACGUGGAUAACCUCCCUAUAUGACUGGGAUAACUUCGGGAAUCCGGCGCUAAUCCCGGAUAAUCUCUUGAACCGCAUGGUUCAAUAGUGAAAGACGGUUUUGCUGUCACUUCUCGCUGGUUCCGCGCCGCAUUAGCUAGUUGGUAAGGUCACGGCUUACCACGGCAACGAGGCGUAGACGAACUGAGAGGGGGAUCGGCCGCAUUGGAAGUUGGACAGGGUCAAUGCGCCUACGGGAGGCAGCAGAAUGGAAUCGGCCGCAAUAGGCGGAAGCAUGACGGAGCGGCGCCGAGUGUGUUAUGAAGGUCUUCGGAGCGUAAAACUGGGUUAUGAGGGAAGAACAAAUGUGGAAGGAACUAUACACGGCGUGACGGUACCGAGUCAGAAAGCAACGGCUAACUACGUG
rnacentral:rRNA from 1 species